rnacentral:rRNA from 1 species
ACAGAGGUGGCGAGCGUUGUCCGGAUUGACUGGGCGUAAAGGGCGCGUAGGCGGCUUGGUAAGUCAACUGUAAAAUCUAUGGGCUCAACCCAUAGUUCGCAGUUGAAACUGCUUUGCUUGAGUAUAGGAGAGGAGAGUGGAAUUCCUGGUGUAGCGGUGGAAUGUGUAGAGAUCAGGAAGAACACCGGUGGCGAAGGCGGCUCUCUGGUCUAAUACUGACGCUAAUGCGCGAAAGCUAGGGGAGCAAACGG